AGAUCUGUCUUCCUCUGUGGUGUAUAUAGUAAGGAGAUGGCUCAUGCUCAUAGCUGUGAUGGUUCUUCUUCUUCUUCUUCUUUUGGGCCACCCCUAAGCGUGUGGUGUUCCCUGGCCAAGGAUGAGAUCUGAGCCACAGUUGCAAGCUACUUCACAGCUUUGGCAAUGCCAGAUCCUUAACUCACUGUGCCGGGUCAGGGAUUGGACCUAUGUCCCAGUGCUGCAGAGAUGCCACUAAUCCCCUUGUGCCACAGAAGAAACGUCAGAAGAUAUUCGUGGAGUUCCUUGAUGGUGCAGCUGAUUAAGGAUCCACUGUUGUCACUCCUGUGGCUCAGGUGAUGCCACGGCUAGCCACGGAUAUCUGUGAGGAGUAACCCAUGCGCUUCCUCGCAUCAGUGAACACUGCUCAGGGAGUGUAGAAGGAGGGCGGGGGAGCUGAGCCCACCUACCAGCUCAUCACGCAUCCUACACACUCACUCAUCCGGAUUCGCAUUUUUCUCUGCAUUUUACUAAUUUAAUCCUCACUGCAGUGUUUCGCUGUUGGGUACAUCUCCAUCACGGACUUCAGCACGGCCUACACUUCUAGGAUUUACCGGGACCGCAAGGUCCCAUGCGCCCCCUCUCCUGGGAGAUGCUCUAGGAUUUGGGAUAAAAGUCAGACCUCACCGGUUUAUACCCCUCCUCGGCCCCGAAGCUUUCUCACUCUCCCUCUUCGUGUUGGGCCCAGUGCCAGGGAGACGCAGCCCCGCUGUUCCUGGAGAGUCUGGAUCAAAACCAGGGUGGGAGUCACCUCUUCUUCUAGCAAUGACUCCCCUCCCAGGCUUAAAAGCAUCAUCUAAAUUAAGCCGGAGGGGAGGGGCCAUCUGCUACUACAUUCUGUGUGUGGUCCCCUGCUGAAGCAUUUCCAGGAUCACUGAACUCCUGGGUGACAACAGGGACAGGACACCCCUGGCUUCACCUGAGGUGCUGGUGCUCUCACACAGGUAGGUCUUUGAAUCUAAGCAGUCAGCCCGCUAACCCUCACAGCCUCCCUGUCUCAUGGGAGCAUCUAUACAAACAGGGGUCCCUCCUGACCCUCCCACUCACUCCUCAGGAUUCAACACAUCUAGCUAGGCCUCCCUACCUUGGAUCCUCUGAAAUAGCAGAAUAAAUAUAAAAACACAUACUUAGAAGCCUGGAAAAUUAGAAAAUGUGCCAUCAGCAGAACAGAACAUGAGGGAAUUUCCAAGAGAGAAAGAAGCUGAGAUCAGAUUAAUGAUGAAACUCAAUAUCCAUUGCUGAGGAGCCGGCAAAGCUGGAGCCUUAUCUGGAAGUGAGGACCAGGUUUGCCCCCCAGAAUAAAGUCAGGGUGUAGCUGUAAAACAAGACAGAGAGCCGCAAGUGAUUGCUCCAUAGAAAUCAAAGCAAGGGCUCUGCCCAGCAACUGCAGCCAAAAUGAAGAGAGAGUGUCCCCAAAGCAGAGCCCAUGAAGGUGCUUGCCCUGGCUCAUCCCGCCUGUCUCCAUGUGCCUGGGGUUAGGGGUGCAGGGUUGCCAUGAUCAAUCAAAGUGGACAGUCCCUUCAGAAGGAAGGUUUACUUGUGUUACACAGCAAGAGUGAUCCGUCAAGACCACUGUUCCCAAGGAUGCUACACUCAGGACCCCCUUGCCAUCUAAAAAAUGCUUAAGGGCCCCACAGAGCUUUGAUUUCUAUGGAGCAAACCUACUGAUACAUAAUAGAAGUGAAAAAGAAGAAACAAAUUUUAAUAUUUAUACAUUUAUUUUAAAAUGAUAAAGCAUCACGUAAACAAAAAUAAUAUUUCUGAAAAUAGCUAUUUUUUCCAAAAAUUGUUUAUUUAGUGAGAAGAGUGACAUUGUUUUAUAUUUUUAUAAAUCUCACCAAUGUCUGGCUUAAUAGACAGCUGCAUUUUCAUAUUUGCUUCUGAUUGCAAUCUGUUAUGAUAUCACACAUCAUGUAGACUCUGGAAAACUCUGCUGAGCACUCAUGAAAGAAAAAUGUCUUUGUAUUCCUAUUAGGUAGCUUUGAGUUUGUGGGUUCCUCUGAAAGAGUCUUAGGAACCCCCAGGGUCCAAGAGCCACACUUGAGAACCACUGUCCUGAGAUUCAUUUACAAAUGGGAUCAGACAAUCAAGAAUCCCUGUGUAUUUGAAAGAAAUCAGACAAAGAGCUUCCAUUCUGGUUCAGUGGGUUAAGAAUCUGGCGUUGCUACAGCUGUGGUUUGGUUUCAAUCCCUGGCCUGGGAACUUCCAUAUGCUGCAGGUACAACCAUAAAAAAAAGAGAAGGUGAAGGAAAAGAAGAGCCAGACAGACCCUGAAGAAAACAGGGUAAUGCAGGAACCAGAGAUUAUGUUAAAAUAAGUAUAAUUAAUAUCUUUUGAGAGGUUCAACCAGAUACAUUAGAACCAGUCAGAUGAUGAGUAGACACAGAAAACACAAAAAUCAGUACUUUUUCCUAUAGACGUUAAUCACCAGGUAAGAGAUGGUAUUUGUAGUGGCAACAAAAAUCAUAAACAAUCCUGGUGGCUCAAUGGAUUAUGGAUACAGCACUGUCACUGUGGUGGCUCGGGUCACUGCAGUGGCACGGAUUCUACCCCUGGCCCUGGAACUUCUGUAUGCCAUGGGUAUGGACCCCCCUAAUAACAAAUAAUCCAGGUAUAAACCAAUUCUGGAAGACCUACAUAAACAGAGGCUUUAUAUUGUAUUAAAGAACAAAUAUGAGAGAUGUAUUUAUUAUGCUUCUUGCAAGAAGUCUCAGUAUUAUAAAAAUACUAUUAUAUUAUAUUUAUAGUUAUAAAAUACUGUUAGAUUUAUAUGAGUAGUUACAUGAGUUGCUCAGUAAACACCCCUCUGAAUUUAACUGGGUUAAGCUGGAUUUUUGUUAUGUGCAUCAAGAGCUGUACCUCAGAGGGAGUUCCCUGAUGGCCUAGUGAUUAAGGAUUCAGCAUUGUCACUGCUGUGCUCAAGUUCGAUCUCUGGCUCAGGAGCUUCUGCAUACUGUGUGUGGCAGGGACAAGCAAAAAUUAAAAAUAAAAAAAAAA
ensembl:lncRNA